AUUGAACGCUGGCGGCAUGCUUUACACAUGCAAGUCGAACGGUAACAGGCCUUCGGGUGCUGACGAGUGGCGAACGGGUGAGUAAUGCAUCGGAACGUGCCCAGAGGCGGGGGAUAACGCAGCGAAAGCUGUGCUAAUACCGCAUGUGAUCUGAGGAUGAAAGCGGGGGACCAGGCAGCAAUGUUUGGCCUCGCGCCUUUGGAGCGGCCGAUGUCAGAUUAGGUAGUUGGUGGGGUAAAGGCCUACCAAGCCGACGAUCUGUAGCUGGUCUGAGAGGACGACCAGCCACACUGGGACUGAGACACGGCCCAGACUCCUACGGGAGGCAGCAGUGGGGAAUUUUGGACAAAGGGCGCAAGCCUGAUCCAGCAAUGCCGCGUGCGGGAAGAAGGCCUUCGGGUUGUAAACCGCUUUUGUACGGAACGAAAAGGCUCUGGCUAAUACCUGGGGCUGAUGACGGUACCGUAAGAAUAAGCACCGGCUAACUACGUG
rnacentral:rRNA from 1 species